CUGACCCUGGUUCAACACUUAUACGGGAGGCAGCAGUGGGGAAUAUUGCACAAUGGGGGAAACCCUGAUGCAGCCAUGCCGCGUGUGUGAAGAAGGCCUUCGGGUUGUAAAGCACUUUCAGCGAGGAGGAAAGGUUGGUAGCUAAUAACUGCCAGCUGUGACGUUACUCGCAGAAGAAGCACCGGCUAACUCCGUGCCAGCAGCCGCGGUAAUACGGAGGGUGCAAGCGUUAAUCGGAAUUACUGGGCGUAAAGCGCACGCAGGCGGUUGGAUAAGUUAGAUGUGAAAGCCCCGGGCUCAACCUGGGAAUUGCAUUUAAACUGUCCAGCUAGAGUCUUGUAGAGGGGGGUAGAAUUCCAGGUGUAGCGGUGAAUGCGUAGAGAUCUGGAGGAUACCGGUGGCGAAGGGGCCUCUGGACAAGACUGACGCUCAGUGCGAAGGUGAGAGCAACAGGAUUGAUACCUGGUAGUCCACGCCGUAACGAUGACGAUUGGAGCUGUGUCUUGAGAGUGCUUCAGAGCUACGCGUUAAUCGACGCUGGGAGUACGGCGC
rnacentral:rRNA from 1 species